rnacentral:lncRNA from 1 species
GUUAGUGGUCAAUGCCAUUCUGCUGCCUUGAAAUGCAUCAGUUUAAGGGAAGACAUGAGAUCAUGGGUUUAAGUGAGGCUUCAUCAUACUAAGACAACGUGAUCAGAAGGACAUAUUUGCUUCCCCUUCUACCAUGAUUGUAAGUUUCCUGAGGCCUCCACAGCCAUGCCGAACUGUGAGUCAAUUAAACCUUUUUCCUUUAUAAAUGUCCCAGUCUUGGGUAUGUCUUUAUUAACAGCUUGAGAAGAGACAAAUACGGAUAAUAUGAUUGGUUAGACAAUUUGAGAAUCUUUAUAAUAUUUUUCAAAAGAAACAUAAAUAUUGUAAUUUUUGUCAAUAACUGUUUGGUGAGCAAGGAAGUUAAUUUCUUUGAAUGUGUUUUUGUACUUGUGAAAUAGGGAUUAUAAUUCGU